GACCAGACUCCUACGGGAGGCAGCAGUGGGGAAUCUUCCGCAAUGGGCGCAAGCCUGACGGAGCAAUGCCGCGUGAACGAAGAAGGUCUUCGGAUUGUAAAGUUCUGUCCUUAUCGAAGAGAGGGUAUAGAGUGAAAAAUGAUAUACUAGGACGGUAGAUGAGGAGGAAGCCCCGGCUAACUACGUGCCAGCAGCCGCGGUAAUACGUAGGGGGCAAGCGUUAUCCGGAUUUACUGGGUGUAAAGGGAGCGUAGACGGUUAUGUAAGUCUGGAGUGAAAGCCCGGGGCCCAACCCCGGGACUGCUUUGGAAACUGUGUAACUGGAGUACAGGAGGGGCAGGCGGAAUUCCUGGUGUAGCGGUGAAAUGCGUAGAUAUUAGGAGGAACACCAGUGGCGAAGGCGGCUUACUGGACUGUAACUGACGUUGAGGCUCGAAAGCGUGGGGAGCAAACAGGAUUAGAUACCCCUGUAA
rnacentral:rRNA from 1 species